AUGCUGCAGGCACAGGUACCUCAGCUCAUUCACAGCAUAGAUAGGAGCCAGGUCAUACAGCUAUUGUUGGUGAGCUCCAGUUUGCUUCGAAGCUUUUCGAGUCGGUUCCUUAUGUUUUGUUAUUGUACAGGAGUCAUGUGUGGGCGGGGGGUUUAUCCCGACCCUAGUUAUGUCAUGUAUAUCCUAGAGGCUUUGUAGACAUAAGG
rnacentral:lncRNA from 1 species